rnacentral:lncRNA from 1 species
UCUCGUCUGUCUUUCCCUCUGUCACUUGUCAAUGUGCAAGCACAUGUUUUCUAAUGAUGCAGACACCUCAAUUCUGGAAUCUUACUGAAGGUCAAACAUUUACUCAGCCAUUAAAACUCUCUGUGCUAGAGUAAUUUACAUUUGUAUUUGCAAAGAAAAUAUAGUGUGCCCGGUAGACAGCAUUUAAUGGCUUUUUUCCAUUAACUCAAGUGGGCAAAAAGGAAGUACUACAGCCAAAUCCAACAAAUCCUGGUGGUCUUUCUCUGUCCACCAAAAGAAACACCUGCACCAUCACCAUGCCCUCCCCCAUUCCCCAAAUUCAGGCCCCGUCUCAUUUUGUAGAGUUUUUGUGAGCACCAGACUCAGUGAGGAGGGGGCACCCCGGGCCUGAAAGUUUCCAUGGCCUGGAUCCUCAGCUAAAGUCCCGCAUUCCUAUAAAUCCCAGUUGUGCUGAGGUCAAUGCAGGAUGAAGGCGGGAGAUGUACUUACACGCCGACUGCCAGAAAAGGUCUUCUCCAUUUGGUAGUGAUCAGACGUCAGGCAGACCAUCUCCGGGGAUGAGCUGUAAGCGAAGGAAUAGUGGGAGAGGAAGAACCGAGACAACCGUGAAUACAGUGUUUGGGACAAGUUAGAAACACAAGGAACAUAGAAUCUUUUCAUGACAAAGUGGAAGCUGGAAGUCAGUCCCAUAAAGGCCAGUAAGAUCUUGUUCUAUUAUUUUUUUCCUCCUCAGAAGUGGAAUUAGCUUUUUCCUACUUAAAAAGUUACCAGCUGGGGUCAGGUACGGUGGCUCACGCCAGUAAUCCCAGCACUUUGGGAGAUUGAGGCGGGCAGAUUGCUUGCACCCAGUAGUUCAAGACCAGCCUGGGCAACAUCGGGAGAGCCCCAUCUCUACAAAAAUACAAAAAGUAGCCAUGUGUCGUGGUGCACACCUGUAGUCCCAACUACUUGGGAGGCUGGGGGUGGGCGGAUCGCUUGAGCCUGGGAGGUUGAGGCUGCAGUGAGCCAAGAUCACACCACUGCAUAACAGCCUGGGUGCUGGCUCAUGUCUGUAAUCCCAGCACUUUGGGAGGUUUGGAUGGGGGGAUCCCUUGAGCCCAGGAGUUUGAGAUCAGCCCAGGCAACAUAGUGAGACUCUGUCUCUACCCCAAAAAAAAAAAAAAAAAAAAAAUUUAAAUAGCUGGAUGCAGUGGCACACGCCUGUAGUCCCAGCUAUUUGGGAGGCUGAGGCAGAAGGAUUGCUUGAGCUCAGAAGUUCAAGGUUGUAGUGAGCUACGAUCGCACCACUGCACUCCAGCCUGGGCAACAGAGCAAGACCCUGUCACUGAAAAUAAAUAAAUAAAUAAUAUUUGCUUUGUGCAGAAAACUUGGAAAACAAGAC